AGCAGUCGCCACGGUAAAACAGAGGGUGCGAGCGUUAAUCGGAUUUACUGGGCGUAAAGCGUGCGUAGGCGGCUUUUUAAGUCGGAUGUGAAAUCCCUGAGCUUAACUUAGGAAUUGCAUUCGAUACUGGGAAGCUAGAGUAUGGGAGAGGAUGGUAGAAUUCCAGGUGUAGCGGUGAAAUGCGUAGAGAUCUGGAGGAAUACCGAUGGCGAAGGCAGCCAUCUGGCCUAAUACUGACGCUGAGGUACGAAAGCAUGGGGAGCAAACAGGAUUAGAUACCCCUGUAGUCCCUGUCUCUUAUAC
rnacentral:rRNA from 1 species